rnacentral:rRNA from 1 species
CCAGACUCCUACGGGAGGCAGCAGUGGGGAAUAUUGGGCAAUGGGCGCAAGCCUGACCCAGCAACGCCGCGUGAAGGAAGAAGGCUUUCGGGUUGUAAACUUCUUUUCUGGGGGACGAAGAAAGUGACGGUACCCCAGGAAUAAGCCACGGCUAACUACGUGCCAGCAGCCGCGGUAAUACGUAGGUGGCAAGCGUUAUCCGGAUUUAUUGGGUGUAAAGGGCGUGUAGGCGGAAAUGCAAGUCAGAUGUGAAAACUAUGGGCUCAACCCAUAGCCUGCAUUUGAAACUGUAUUUCUUGAGUGCUGGAGAGGCAAUCGGAAUUCCGUGUGUAGCGGUGAAAUGCGUAGAUAUACGGAGGAACACCAGUGGCGAAGGCGGCCUGCUGGACGACAACUGACGGUGAGGCGCGAAAGCGUGGGGAGCAAACAGGAUUAGAUACCCGGGUAU